CGGGGGACCGCUGGCGGCGUGCCUAUACAUGCAAGUCGUACGCUUCUUUUUCCACCGGAGCUUGCUCCACCGGAAAAAGAAGAGUGGCGAACGGGUGAGUAACACGUGGGUAACCUGCCCAUCAGAAGGGGAUAACACUUGGAAACAGGUGCUAAUACCGUAUAACAAUCGAAACCGCAUGGUUUUGAUUUGAAAGGCGCUUUCGGGUGUCGCUGAUGGAUGGACCCGCGGUGCAUUAGCUAGUUGGUGAGGUAACGGCUCACCAAGGCCACGAUGCAUACCGACCUGAAGGGUGAUCGGCCCUUGGGACUGAGACCGGCCACUCCUACGGGAGGCCAUAGGAACUUC
rnacentral:rRNA from 1 species